rnacentral:lncRNA from 1 species
CUUUAUUUUAAUGUGGUGCUGAGGAUCGAACCCAGCACCCUGCGCCUGCCAGGUGAGCGCGCUACAGCUUGAACCACAUCCCCAGCCCAAUGUGAUCCUUCUUUGAUAGAAGUGGCAAUUGAUGUCAGAGGCUUGGAUUGGAGUCUAAGUCCUUCAUCUUGUGCCACAGUCUGGCUGGGCAUAAAUCACGAACCACUCAAGCAGGAACAAACUUUAUUUCUGAACUCCACCAGCACACUCCACACACGCUCCCCGGGAACUCUCCCAAAUGCCACCUACGCGGCUCCUCCAGGAACAUACCACACACCAACCGGAACUCCCUCCCCGGGCUUCGCGCGCACUCACUCUUGGAACCCCUCAAGAACUCAACGGGAACUCCAAAGUAGAGGGCGCCUAUGCAGCAAAAGUCAUCCUAUUACCGGUCAGUAAAGGUCUAAUAUACAAUUGAAUCAAUCUAGCAUCAUCUUAAUGGCUUGCCUCUCAACCAUUACUUCUGGUAAAAUGCCAGGGGCCAUUCCGACUUGGCUGUGGCUCUCAGCAUCUCCCCCCUUCUGUUUAAUUAAACAACAAGCAAUGUGGCUUAGGGACCAUGCCUGUUAGGUUGUCCAAUACUACAUAUGGUCCUUACCCAUCAUCGGAUGAGCUGACUUCAAGGCGUCAGCCUCCUGUCUUAGGUUGGUACCACUGCAAUUGGAUCUUACCCGUCACUGACUACCGGUCCAGCAUAUAGCCAUACUUGUGGAUAGGCCUUUGCACCAGUGGUGGGGGUGGUGAGGUUCUUUGCCUCACCUCUGUUGGCCCCCAAAUUUUAGACCAUCACUAGCAGAAGGGAGGAGGAUGCAAAAUGCCACAACACCAAGCCAAAUGAUGGCUCUUUUUGGAAAAAUUGUACCACCGAUGACACCAUCAGCAAAGAUGCCCUAGCACUACCACAAUUCGCUGCACCAACAGAUAAUUCACAAUGCAUACAAGUGAUACAUAGUCCAGGCAAGUUCUGCAAGCAGUUCAAAGCAGAGGAAUCCAUCAAUAUGUCCAUUUCCUCCCAAAGUAAGUCGACUCCUUGAUUGAGCAUUACUUGUUGAGUUAUUAUUGAUUGAUGCAUCAGUUUAUACAGUUUACUGUGAUAGCUAUCGAAGAAGCUGUAGUUUGGUUUUAUCUUUGUCUUCACCGGCACUGGGAUGAAGAUAGGAAUUUUGGC